GAUCCUGGCUCAGGACGAACGCUGGCGGCGUGCCUAACACAUGCAAGUCGAACGGAAGCAAAGAUUUCGGUUUUUGCUUUAGUGGCGAACGGGUGAGUAACGCGUGAGGAACCUGCCUUUCAGUGGGGGGACAACAGUUGGAAAACGACUGCUAAUACCGCAUAAUACUUUCGAGCGGCAUCGUUUGAAAGUCAAAGAUUUAUUGCUGAAAAGAUGGCCUCGCGUCUGAUUAGCUAGUUGGUGGGGUAACGGCU
rnacentral:rRNA from 1 species